rnacentral:rRNA from 1 species
AGGAUAAACGCUGGCGGCGUGCCUAACACAUGCAAGUCGAACGCGCUUGCUAUCCGCGAGGAGGGUGAGCGAGUGGCGGACGGGUGAGGAACACGUGGGUGACCUACCUUUCAGUGAGGGAUACCGGCGAGAAAUUGCCGACAAGACCGCAUACGCUUCUCUUUUCAAGGGGAGAAGGAAAGCUUUUCGCAAGAGAGGCGCUGGGAGAUGGGCCUGCGGCCGAUUAGCUAGCUGGUGGGGUAAUGGCCUACCAGGGCGACGAUCGGUAGCUGGUCUGAGAGGACGAUCAGCCACACUGGGAUUGAGAACGGCCCAGACUCCUACGGGGGGCAGCAGUGAGGAAUUUUCGGCAAUGGGGGCAACCCUGACCGAGCAACGCCGCGUGCAGGACGACGGCCUUCGGGUUGUAAACUGCUUUUCUCUGGGACGAGGCAAGGACGGUACCAGAGGAAGAAGCCCGGCUAACUACGUGCCAGCAGCCGCGGU